UAUUCCCAAACAACUCGACUCGUCGAGAGGGUCUUGUACUGGUUGAGGCAUCAUCGCACGGGAUUCUCACCCUCUGUGACGUCCUGUUCCAAGGAACAUAGACAAUGCCGCCCCAAAGACACCCCUCUACAAAUUACAACUCCCGAAGGAUUUCAAAUUUGAGCUUUUGCCGCUUCACUCGCCGUUACUGAGGCAAUCCCGGUUGGUUUCUUUUCCUCCGCGCUUAUUGAUAUGCAUGGUCCGUGUUUCAAGACGGCUUUUCCUCCGCGCUUAUUGAUAUGCAUGGUCCGUGUUUCAAGACGGCUUUUCCUCCGCGCUUAUUGAUAUGCAUGGUCCGUGUUUCAAGACGGCUUUUCCUCCGCGCUUAUUGAUAUGCAUGGUCCGUGUUUCAAGACGGCUUUUCCUCCGCGCUUAUUGAUAUGCA
rnacentral:rRNA from 1 species